rnacentral:rRNA from 1 species
ACGGGUUUUGUCGCAAGACAGAAUCAGUGGUGGACGGGUGAGUAACACGUAGGAACAUACCCUCUUGUAUAGAAUACCCAGCCGAAAGGUUGGCUAAUGCUGUAUGUUAUCGCAAGAUCAAAGCACGUAACUGUGCGCAAGAGGAGUGGCCUGCGGCCUAUCAGCUAGUUGGUGGGGUAAUUGCCUACCAAGGCUACGACGGGUAGGGGGUGUGAGAGCAUGGCCCCCCACAAUGGGACUGAGACACGGCCCUUACAUCUACGGAUGGCAGCAACUAGGAAUAGUUCGCAAUGGACGAAAGUCUGACGACGCGACGCCGCGUGGAGGAUGAAGGCCCUCGGGUCGUAAACUCCUUUUAAAUGGAAAGAAGUCCGGCAGUAGCCGGAUUGACGGUACCAUUAGAAUAAGCCGCUACUAACUACGUGCCAGAAGUCUCGGUAAUACGUAGGCGGCAAGCGUUAUCCGGAUUCAUUGGGCGUAAAGAGACGUGUAGGCGUCCCAACGCAUCUUUCUUUAAAGAUCAAGGCUUAACCUUGAUUCUGGGAAAGAGAUGGUUGGGAUAGAAAGCUUCUGGGGCAACUGGAACAGACGGUGGAGCAGUGAAAUGCGUUGAUAUUGUCUGGAACACCGAUGGCGAAGGCAGGUUGCUAGGAACACUUUGACGCUGAGACUCGAAAGCUAGGGGAGCGAAGCAGAUUAGAUACCUGCGUAGUCCUAGCCGUAAACGCAUGGGUGCUAGAUCGCCGUUUCACACA